rfam:Aphanomyces invadans strain NJM9701 unplaced genomic scaffold supercont1.16, whole genome shotgun sequence.
UACCUGGCUUUUUUAAAAGCCACCCUUUCUCUCGAGAAACCCAUCG